CCAAAACUCAACAGCGGACUCCCGGCACAUCGUUUUCAACCCACCCCCCCCGCUCGCGAACUUCUCACUACUCAGCGGAGUCCCGGAGCUCCACGGCCGGCUGGGAGGUUCUCUUCCCCGGCGUCCGGCUGGGGCUUCCCCCGUUCCCCAUACGGAGGCUCCCCGCGGGGCUACUCCCCCUACUCUCCGGGAUCUCCAAGCUACUCUCCGGGUUCUAAUCGAGGAUACAGAGACGGAUCUCCAGCCGGGUUCGGAAACGGUUCCCGGAGGUUCGGAGAUUCUCCGGCCGGGUUCAGCAGCGGCACGCAGGGGUUCGGGGGUCCGAUGCGGCGCAGAGGGGACGGUUUCCGGCGGCCUCAGUCCUUCAGUCCAACUUCAGCUCCGAACUUCAAGUCUUCAGAUGCGCCCGUGCAGAAGUACUUCAGCCCGUCUAUGGUGCAGGAUCCAUGGAAAAAUCUGCAGCCCGUCACCACCAUGGAUGCCGCUGCGGCCAGGCGGAUCACAUGACUGGAAAUAACACAAGUGGUGACCACAUGACAUCACCAGCAAUGAUCAAUAACUGUGAUGAGACGAACUGAAGUUUUUAGUCAGAUGUUUUAACCUUUUUAAAAAUUGUUUUUUAAACUGUUUGUGAAAAGAAGUUUUACGUUUUUAAAAUAUAAAAAGUUUAAAUUUUGCUUC
ensembl:lncRNA